rnacentral:rRNA from 1 species
UGGGGAAUAUUGGACAAUGGGCGAAAGCCUGAUCCAGCCAUGCCGCGUGUGUGAAGAAGGUCUUCGGAUUGUAAAGCACUUUAAGUUGGGAGGAAGGGCAUUAACCUAAUACGUUAGUGUUUUGACGUUACCGACAGAAUAAGCACCGGCUAACUCUGUGCCAGCAGCCGCGGUAAUACAGAGGGUGCAAGCGUUAAUCGGAAUUACUGGGCGUAAAGCGCGCGUAGGUGGUUUGUUAAGUUGGAUGUGAAAUCCCCGGGCUCAACCUGGGAACUGCAUUCAAAACUGACUGACUAGAGUAUGGUAGAGGGUGGUGGAAUUUCCUGUGUAGCGGUGAAAUGCGUAGAUAUAGGA